rnacentral:lncRNA from 1 species
UAAAAUUCUACUUUUUGAGACCUUGAUCCACUUAAACCUCAAUAUCCCUCAAUUCAACCGUUAGAUCAAGCUCAAAUUUACGAUACAUAUUAAAAACAACUAAAACCAUAAAUACACAAAAUUUCACCUGUAGAUCUAUUACAAAACUCUUAAAAUCACCCAAAACGUAGACCCUAUUUUAUUUCAUAAAAUCCAAGUCAUCCGAAACAAACCUCGACUUUGCAAAGCUCUUACAAAGUCAUAUCAACUCCAAAUCACCCAAAAUUAACACCCAUAGAAACCCUAUCCAAUAUUCUAUCAAACCCCAC